rnacentral:rRNA from 1 species
UGUUUGGAGAGUUUGAUCCUGGCUCAGGACGAACGCUGGCGGCGUGCUUAACACAUGCAAGUCGAACGGUGAAGCACCUUCCUUUUGGUGGGU